UGGGGAAUAUUGCACAAUGGGCGAAAGCCUGAUGCAGCGACGCCGCGUGCGGGAUGAAGGCCUUCGGGUUGUAAACCGCUUUUGAUUGGGAGCAAGCGAGAGUGAGUGUACCUUUCGAAUAAGCACCGGCUAACUACGUGCCAGCAGCCGCGGUAAUACGUAGGGUGCAAGCGUUAUCCGGAAUUAUUGGGCGUAAAGAGCUCGUAGGCGGUUUGUCGCGUCUGGUGUGAAAGUCCAUCGCUUAACGGUGGAUCUGCGCCGGGUACGGGCAGGCUAGAGUGCGACAGGGGAGACUGGAAUUCCCGGUGUAACGGUGGAAUGUGUAGAUAUCGGGAAGAACACCAAUGGCGAAGGCAGGUCUCUGGGUCGUCACUGACGCUGAGG
rnacentral:rRNA from 1 species